rnacentral:rRNA from 1 species
AUGGAAGACAAUGGAGGUGCCGGGAAGCGGAAGGAGAAGCUGACCGACGCUCAGAAGAAAGAAAAGAAGGAACAGGAUCUCCAGAAUAACAUCACAUUUUCAGUUGAGGCGCACCUGGAGUUUUAUAGGGACAAGCACAAAGAAAUGGACGAAGAAACCUCAACAAAGAACAUGAGAGAGCUACUAGCGGCAAGCCUAAAACCAAGGAAAGAGAAGUAA